UGGCUCAGUGGUACAGCCCUUGCCUAGCACGCAUGAGGCCCUGGGUUUGAUUCCCAG
rnacentral:tRNA from 1 species